rnacentral:lncRNA from 1 species
UGACAUCAUUGGUUUCUGUAGACUGUUCUGGAAUUGAAGAUGCGUUUGGUUGCUCCUCUUCCCUUCGUUCCGUUGAAUGUUGUUCUGGUUCUUUCUGAUUUUCCUCAACUUCAGUAACCACAGGUUCACCUUUUACUGUUUCUGUAGGCUCAACUUCAGUAGCCACAGGUUCUUCUUUUACCGUUUCUGUAGCUUGAACUUCAGUAGCCACAGGUUCUUCUUUUACCAUUUCUCUAGGAUCAACUUCAGUAACCACAGGUUUGACUUUUACUGAUUCUGUCAGAUCAACUUCAGUAACCAGGGGUUCUUUUACUGUUUUUGUAAUUUCAACUUCUGUAGCCACAGCUUCUUCUUUUACUGUCUCUGUAGGAUCAACUUCAGUAACUAUAGGUUCGUCUUUUACCGUUUCUGUUGCCUCGAAUUCAGUAGCUGCAGGUUCAUCUUUUACCAUUUCUGUAGGCUCAACUACAGUUGUCACAGGUUCUUCUUUUACGGUUUCUGUAGCUUCAACUUCAGUAGCCACAGAUUCUUCUUUUACUGUUUCUGUAGCUUCAACUUCAGUAGCCACUGGUUCUUCUUUUACUGUUUCUGUAGCUUCAACUUCAGUAGCCACUGGUUCUUCUUUUACUGUUUCUGUAGCUUCAACUUCAGUAGCUGCAGGUUCGUCUUUUACCGUUUCUGUAGCCUCAACUUCAGUUGCCACAGGUUCUUCUUUUACCGUUUCUGUAGGCUCAACUUCAGUAGCCACGGGUUCUUCUUUUACUGUUUCUGUAGCUUCAGCUUCAGUAGCUAGAGGUUCUUCUUUUACCGUUUCUGUAGGAUCAACUUCAGUAACCACAGGUUCGUCUUUUACGGUUUCUGUAACCUUAACUUCAGUAGCUGCAGGUUCUUCUUUUACUGUUUCCGUAGCCUCAACUUCAGUAGCCACAAGUUCUUCUUUUAGUGUUUCUGUAGCCUCAACUUCAGUAACCACGGGUUCUUCUUUUACUAUCUCUGCA